GAAGUCUGUUUCGCCUAAUUCGAACCCGAAUUAUUAAAAGUUGUUUUCAAGAUCGAGAGCGUUCGAAUGGAGUUUAAAUGGUCGAUCAGUAUGGCACAGAAAUCGAGGUUAAAAGAAUUGUACCAGU